rnacentral:rRNA from 1 species
GACGAACGCUGGCGGCGUGCUUAACACAUGCAAGUCGAACGAAGAGCGAUGGAAGCUUGCUUCUAUCAAUCUUAGUGGCGAACGGGUGAGUAACGCGUAAUCAACCUGCCCUUCAGAGGGGGACAACAGUUGGAAACGACUGCUAAUACCGCAUACGAUCUAAUCUCGGCAUCGAGGAUAGAUGAACGGUGGCCUCUACAUGUAAGCUAUCACUGAAGGAGGGGAUUGCGUCUGAUUAGCUAGUUGGAGGGGUAACGGCCCACCAAGGCGAUGAUCAGUAGCCGGUCUGAGAGGAUGAACGGCCACAUUGGGACUGAGACACGGCCCAGACUCCUACGGGAGGCAGCAGUGGGGAAUCUUCCGCAAUGGACGAAAGUCUGACGGAGCAACGCCGCGUGAGUGAUGACGGCCCUCGGGUUGUAAAGCUCUGUUAAUCGGGACGAAAGGCCUUCUUGCGAAUAGUGAGAAGGAUUGACGGUACCGGAAUAGAAAGCCACGGCUAACUACGUG